rnacentral:lncRNA from 1 species
AGCCUACGACGAGCUUCGGCUAACGUAAGCGAGGAGUUCGUUUCGUCUUCAAACCGAUAGAAAUUUAAUUUUCCUUUUCAGCGCGAUCACUUUCGAGCGAUCGCGCGUGUGUUUUCCAAUUAGAUUUUGACGUCGAAAUUGUUGAAUCUGGUAAUUUUUAUCCGUCAGACGUGUUUUAAUUUUCAUUUCUUUCAUUUCUUUCCUGGGAUAAAUGUCGAAGUUAGUUUCGAAAAAUACGUCGAAUAUUUUCAUGCCAAUAAUUAAUAACGAUUUUACUGCGCGUUCUUAAUAAUUGCAAAAUAAAAAAGAAAAAUCGUUUAAUAUCGAAAGAACGGAUAUUUUUUUAGUAAAGAGAGAGAGAGAGAAGGAAAAAGUUCGACGAGCACAGUGUGUUUGCUUCGAAACCUGCGAGAGAGGCGCAUAAACGGAGAAAUACGGAUUUGUAGAAACUUGAGGAGUGAGAAUACACAAUUUUCUGGAAUGGAAGGAGCCCGUCUUAACGAUGAUUGAAAAGCGUGAAAGUUGAUAGGCCGUUUUAAGGUGCGGAUAAUUUGUUUUAGAGAAAAGUAGGAAGAAGCGUCUUUUCGAACUUGCCGUUGGCAGACGGUUGGAAAUAAGAAUCACAGUUUAUUCGUGGAAAGGCGCGAACGUAGGCAUGAUGAUGGACAUGGAGGAGGAGACGUCCACCUAUGACUUGGUACUUUCUACCAAAUUCUCUAUUCAAACGAGCGAGUCCAUUCGGUGGGGGGGGAACAACAAUCGUACUUCAACAAUAAAGAUAGAUUUCUUGUCUCUCGCGAAAUCGUAGGAAUAAUAAAAGGAUGUGUGUGCCGCCUUUUGUCAAUCUCCAAUCACAAUGGCAAGCAAAGUUUCCACAGCCGACGCUUCUUUCUUCUUCUUCUCUCUCUCUCUCUCUCUCUCUCUCUCUGGAAUCGGUGGCCACGCGAUAAACGGCCGCCCGUUCCCAGCCCCAGGUGGUAGUAUGCCUUGGACGAUACACGAUACACGAUCGUGUAUAUACACGAGACGGCGGGUAAUAAGUUUCUCGGUGAAAAUUAGAUUUCCGUGCCUGUUGCCGCGUGUGACACGGAACACGCGGCAUGCAAAACGGGCGACCUGCUGUUGUGCUGCUGCCGUGUCCCGAAUCUGUUUUCGGUCAGGAGGAGGAAGAAGGAGGAAGGAAGAAGGAGAGAAGGAAAUGGAACGAGCGAGGAGGAAGGAAGGGGAGGGAGAAGAAACUCGUCGUCCCGUUGCCGCUGCCGAACAGCCUCUGGAAAGCCAGCACCCCGGCGAGGAGAAGGGCGAUCUUGCCCACGAAAAGGGCCUUCAUCACCAGCAGGCCCAGACUUCCCAGCACAAUUGGGAUCAGGGCGAAUAAUUUCACCCCCGCGGCGGCGAUCAGUGGCAACGCGAUUUUCUUUAUCUUGGCGCGGCCUGGAAAAAUGGGAAAUUAUUCGCGUAUCUAUUUCUACUUCAUCCAAAUCUGAUGAUUUUAAAAUAAAACGACGACACGGCAAGUUAGUUUUAGUUCAUCGAACAACGAAAUUGUUCGUUUUCUGCUGUAAAUAAAGUAACGAGUGUUGAAGAGAAAA